GAUGAACGCUGGCGGCGUGCCUAAUACAUGCAAGUCGAGCGAACAGACGAGGCGCUUUCUCCUCUGACGUUAGCGGCGGACGGGUGAGUAACACGUGGAUAACCUACCUAUAAGACUGGGAUAACUUCGGGAACCCGGAGCUAAUACCGGAUAGUAUAUUGAACCGCAUGGUUCAAUAGUCCACACCGGUUUUGCUGUCACUUAUUGAUGGUUCCGCGCCGCAUUAGCUAGUUGGUAAGGUAACGGCUUACCAAGGCAACGAUGCGUAGCCGACCUGAGAGGGUGAUCGGCCACACUGGAACUGAGACACGGUCCAGACUCCUACGGGAGGCAGCAGUAGGGAAUCUUCCGCAAUGGGCGAAAGCCUGACGGAGCAACGCCGCGUGAGUGAUGAAGGUCUUCGGAUCGUAAAACUCUGUUAUUAGGGAAGAACAAAUGUGUAAGUAACUAUGCACGUCUUGACGGUACCUAAUCAGAAAGCCACGGCUAACUACGUG
rnacentral:rRNA from 1 species